UUGCACGCUGGCGGCAGGCCUAACACAUGCAAGUCGAACGGUAACAGGAAGAAGCUUGCUUCUUUGCUGACGAGUGGCGGACGGGUGAGUAAUGUCUGGGAAACUGCCUGAUGGAGGGGGAUAACUACUGGAAACGGUAGCUAAUACCGCAUAACGUCGCAAGACCAAAAAGGGGGACCUUCGGGCCUCUUGCCAUCGGAUGUGCCCAGAUGGGAUUAGCUAGUAGGUGGGGUAACGGCUCACCUAGGCGACGAUCCCUAGCUGGUCUGAGAGGAUGACCAGCCACACUGGAACUGAGACACGGUCCAGACUCCUACGGGAGGCAGCAGUGGGGAAUAUUGCACAAUGGGCGCAAGCCUGAUGCAGCCAUGCCGCGUGUAUGAAGAAGGCCUUCGGGUUGUAAAGUACUUUCAGCGGGGAGGAAGGGAGUAAAGUUAAUACCUUUGCUCAUUGACGUUACCCGCAGAAGAAGCACCGGCUAACUCCGUG
rnacentral:rRNA from 1 species